GUGUUGUAUGAAAGGAGAGACGGUUAGCACUCCCCUAUAUAAGGACGGAAGGGGCCUUUAUGGUCUAUACAACACAUGUAAGGCCAAUGUCUUCCUACUACCUUAUCUUACCUAGGCAACCUUAUUUC